CGAAGACAAAGGGUACAGGGUGACAGUGACGAGUUUGAAGGUGCCCGACUUUGAAGCGGAAGCUUCGUGCGGUCCUGGCUUCGAAGGGGAUGCAAAGGUGGAGGCCUGUGACGCAGCAGA
rnacentral:SRP_RNA from 1 species